rnacentral:lncRNA from 1 species
GUAUAUGCAGACAUAAUAAUUUUACGAAUACUUAUUAUUUUAUGUCUUAUUAAUCCAAAAAUCAACAUAAUAAACACUAAUCGGUGAACAUGUUGAAGGAAAAAAUUAUGGUUAAUUCUUUGUUCCUCAAAAUUUAUAACAGUUAUGUUAAAAUUUUAGUCAAAUUAUUAAAAGGUAGAUCUAUUUUUUUUCCUACAUUCCCCAUGGAGGAAUGAAUUUAUAAGAACAAAUUUCUUUAUGCAAUUUUGAUAAAGAACAAAUUGAACAAAAAUUCAUAUAUUUUUUUUUUCAAUUCCUCAAAUGAAAUUUUAUUUUUUAUUUUUUUAUUUUUUUUAUUCUUCUAGUGGUCAUCAACUGAAGCCAUAGUGUUUCACGUAUUAAACCUAAACUGGUUUAAAGUAAAGUCAAAAAAAUUUGUUUUGAACUCAGUCACAAGUUAAGUUAUUAUUUAUGAUUUUAAAUAGUUAAAUCAAACAUCAAAUUGUUUAUAUAUGUCAAGAAAACAUUCAUCAAACUAUGUACUUAUUAUUGUGUUAAAAGUUUUGAAAGACUUAUAUAUUAGAAAUAUUUUCGAAAAUAUUUUUAUAUAAAUAUUUU